GACGAACGCUGGCGGCGUGCCUAAUACAUGCAAGUAGAACGCUGAAGGAGGAGCUUGCUCUUCUGGAUGAGUUGCGAACGGGUGAGUAACGCGUAGGUAACCUGCCUGGUAGCGGGGGAUAACUAUUGGAAACGAUAGCUAAUACCGCAUAAAAUUGAUUAUUGCAUGAUAGUCAAUUAAAAGGUGCAAUUGCAUCACUACCAGAUGGACCUGCGUUGUAUUAGCUAGUUGGUGAGGUAACGGCUCACCAAGGCAACGAUACAUAGCCGACCUGAGAGGGGGAUCGGCCACACUGGGACUGAGACACGGCCCAGACUCCUACGGGAGGCAGCAGUAGGGAAUCUUCGGCAAUAGACGGAAGUCUGACCGAGCAACGCCGCGUGAGUGAAGAAGGUUUUCGGAUCGUAAAGCUCUGUUGUAAGAGAAGAACGAGUGUGAGAGUGGAAAGUUCACACUGUGACGGUAUCUUACCAGAAAGGGACGGCUAACUACGUG
rnacentral:rRNA from 1 species